UGGUUCUUUUUUUCCGGAGCUGGGGACUGAACCCAGGGCCUUGCGCUUCCUAGGCAAGCGCUCUACCACUGAGCUAAAUCCCCGACCCCUAGAAGCCACACUUCUAGACAGUACAAAUCAACUCCAAACACUACAAAGAAGAAAUUCUAAAACUAGGAACUGUAGACACCCCAGCUAAGACUUCAGUAGGUGAAGCUGGGUAUGGUGGUACAAGUCUGUGUGUCACUCAGGAAGCUAGGCAGGAGGACUGCUAUGAGGCCAGCCUGAGCUACAUAGUGAAGUCCGACCUCAGGAGAACGAGUAGAAUUUAGCAUAGUGAAUAAAGUCAAGAGAAGGAAUGCAUGUCUAAAAUGUUGAAGCACUGCACGUGGCGACAUUUAACUGUUAUCUCAGUUCUUGAGUUCUUGGAAGGCUGAAGCAGGAUGAUAGAGUUUUGAGGCCAACCUGGGCUGUGCAGUGAGACUGCCUCAAGCCAAAAAAAAAAAAAAAAAAUUAAAUUCAGCAUGAAAUAGAACACAAAAUGGAUAAUGAAAGGCCUAUAGUGAAAAGAUCUAAUGUUAAGCUACUCAGAGCUCCAGGAAGAAUUAAAGACCUACACUAACCCAGAAGUAGACCAAGGUCCCUCAGAGUACAGCCUGUCAAGGCCAAAGGGAAAGCAGCCUGAACAGGAGCAGACAGGACUCCACAGGAAAUGAUCACUAAGACGCUGGACUGUGCACCUCACGAAAAGGGAUAACUGCAGAGCUUCCAGGAACAGCAAACAAAGGAAAGGGGUUGUGCUGCAGGCAUGUUCUUUGGAAUUGGGAAAAUGCCUUCGAAGUGAAAACUCUGCCCCUGGGAGGACAGGGAGGCCCAGGGCCUUGGGCAGUAAACAGGAGGUAAAUAAAAGAGCACAUCCUGGAGGGACGAGAGCCUGGGGGAUCACUGAGAGCCCCACCAUAGUAUAAGUGGGAGUUGCUGCUAGGGUUAGACUCUAACCAGCCAAGUCAUGGGGAGAAACCAUCUGACUGCAGCACUGAGAGCCAGACAGAUCAGAGGCCCUGAUGGGAGGAACAGUUCUGUGUUCUUGCACAGGGACAGACUAGGUAAGGCCCAGGAUGGGGCUGGGAUGUGAGGCCUCGAAGGAGUUAAAGUUUCAGUUCCUGGGAACUUGAUUCGUUCCCCUGAAGAGACAAUGCACUGAGACUGAACUAUGUGUUCAGUCUAUAAUGCUUUCGUGUUCUUUGUGCAAGAGUGCUCAUUAGCUUCCUGCUGACUUCCUCCAAUUGUAUGAUAAUUUCUGCUAACUCUAUCCUGGAAAUAGGAUAAGAUGCUGUACUUCUGGAUAAGCUUGCUUGGCAUAGAACAGCUUAUGGAAGACCUCCAGAGCCCAAACCUUCCUAUCUCCUGAUCUUUUGAUUUCCUGAUACUCUCUCUCUCAGGACCUUGUCACCAAAGGUCAUCAGCAGGCUAUGCUCUGGCCUGCUGGUCCAGGUUGGUGGAGCUGUCUCCAAGGAAGUCUCACAUAUAUCCUGCUGAUACUGCUAUCCUUUAGUUAUCCUCCAAGGAAGUCUCACAUAUAUUCUGCUGAUACUGCUAUCCUUUAGUUAUCCCUGUUCCUUACAAGUACCCCCUCACCCAUACCGUUAGUAGCCACAAUAAAAAAUUCUCAUUGGACCAAUAAAUUGGACAUUCAUGC
rnacentral:lncRNA from 1 species